GCAUCUAAUGCUGACCAACCUGAAACAUUUUGGAGUUGCCUUCAAAAGAUGCAGGAAGGGAUGCAGAAGCUUUUACUCUAAGCAACAAGACUGGAAUUGGAAGAGAAGGAUGCCCUUAAGCUCCAACAGCUUAGAAGUCUUAUAUAUUCAAAUAUUAAGUAUUGUGUAUUGAACAAUUAGAUUUGAAGGCAUGAUUUUGUCCACA